GCACCGCCCCGGCGCCGCCCCGGCACCCGCACGGCACAGGGGCGGUCCGGGGAGAGCCGGCGGCCGUCCCGGGGCGGGCGGCCCGCGAGGGGCGCUGCCCCCGCUCCCCCCUGCAGCCCCUGUGGAGUCCUGCGGAAUGAAGGCGAGUGAUCCCCGGUUUGAAGUGACGCUCUAAACUGCAAAACGUUUUAAAACUGCAAAAUCUUCUAAAAAGAGAUUUAAAAUGUUAUUGUAAAAAAGCUGGAGGCUUUCUCAGCGGGCGGCUCACGAGAGACGAGGGUUCGGUUCCGCGCCCCGUCAGACACAUGGGUGCAGGAGCACGGAGCUCACUGCUAACCUCCAUUCCCGGCAGAAACUGAGGCACUGGAAUUCAGGCUUUGGAAAAGCUGCCCAGAGAGGUGGUGGAGUCACCAUCCCUGGAGGUGUUUAAAAGGCAUCUGGAUCUGGCACUGUGUGGUGCGGUUUAGUGGUUUAGGAAUUCCAGAGGUAGUGCUAACUUGGUGGUUGGACUUGAUGAUUCUGUGAUAAUGAUACUGCGAUUUAAAGACAAAGGAACGAACACCACAGCACUUAUCCUGCACAUGUGGGUGGCUUGCAUCCCACGUCUCAGCAGGCCAAGGGCAGAUCCAGCUCUCGGUGCCAAAGGCUGGCAGCACCACGGUCUCCUCAGAAGUGCCUUACAAAGCAGGACCAGGCUUGUUUUCCCUGUCUAAUAAAAAUAAAUGCAGGUUCUCCUGUGUUCCAAGCAGCUGCAGCAUCUUUCCCAGAUCCCACCCCACCUCUCUCCACCAGCUGCUGAGGGAAUUGCACAGCAGUCUCUGGACACCAAAGACCCGAGAGGGAGGAGAAGAAGCCGGAGGAGCUCCUGUACCUGCUUGCCCUGGGGCAGGAGGUUCAGCGUGCCGUACACCACCACGCUGCUCUCCGUGGACAGCACCAGCCCGUU